CCUACGGGGAGCAGCAGUGAGGAAUAUUGGUCAAUGGCCGGAAGGCUGAACCAGCCAUGCCGCGUGAAGGUCAGUGCCCUAUGGGCGUUAAACUUCUUGUGUGCGGGAGCAAUAAUGGUCACGUGUGGCCAGACGAGAGUACCGUACGAAUAAGCAUCGGCUAACGCCGUGCCAGCAGCCGCGGUAAUACGGGGGAUGCAAGCGUUAUCCGGAUUUAUUGGGGUUAAAGGGUGCGUAGGCUGUGAGGUAAGUCAGCGGUGAAAUGCCCCGCUCAACGGGGUGAAGUGCCAUUGAUACUGCCUUGCUGGAAUGCGGAUGCCGUGGGAGGAAUGUGUGGUGUAGCGGUGAAAUGCAUAGAUAUCACACAGAACACCGAUUGCGAAGGCAUCUCACGAAUCCGCGAUUGACGCUGAUGCACGAAAGCGUGGGUAUCAAACAGGAUUAGAUACCCUUGUAGUC
rnacentral:rRNA from 1 species